rnacentral:rRNA from 1 species
GCAAGUCGAGCGCUCACUUCGGUGGGAGCGGCAGACGGGUGAGUAACGCGUGGGAAUCUACCCAUCUCUACGGAAUAACUCAGGGAAACUUGUGCUAAUACCGUAUACGCCCUUCGGGGGAAAGAUUUAUCGGAGAUGGAUGAGCCCGCGUUGGAUUAGCUAGUUGGUGGGGUAAAGGCCUACCAAGGCGACGAUCCAUAGCUGGUCUGAGAGGAUGAUC